rnacentral:rRNA from 1 species
GGGGAAUAUUGCACAAUGGGCGCAAGCCUGAUGCAGCGACGCCGCGUGAGGGAUGACGGCCUUCGGGUUGUAAACCUCUUUCAAUAGGGACGGAGCGUGAGUGACGGUACCUAUAGAAGAAGCACCGGCCAACUACGUGCCAGCAGCCGCGGUAAUACGUAGGGUGCGAGCGUUGUCCGGAAUUACUGGGCGUAAAGAGCUCGUAGGUGGUUUGUCGCGUUGUUCGUGAAAACUCACAGCUUAACUGUGGGCGUGCGGGCGAUACGGGCAGACUAGAGUACUGCAGGGGAGACUGGAAUUCCUGGUGUAGCGGUGGAAUGCGCAGAUAUCAGGAGGAACACCGGUGGCGAAGGCGGGUCUCUGGGCAGUAACUGACGCUGAGGAGCGAAAGCGUGGGGAGCGAAC